ensembl:lncRNA
GUGCUGCUGCGUGAGGCUAUCUACAACACACCAGGGCUUGUUCUGCUGGCUGAGGCCAUCUACAACACACCAGGGCCUGUGCUGCUGGCUAAGGCUAUCUACAACAUACCAGGGCCUGUGCUGCUGCCUGAUGCCAUCCACAACACGCCAGGGUUUGUGCUGCUGGCUGAAGUUAUCUACAACACACCAGGGCUUGUACUGCUGGCUGAGGCAAUCUACAACUAAAGGGGCCUUUGCUUCUGGUUUAGGCUAUCUACGACACGCCAGAGCCUUUGCUGCUGGCUAAGACCAUCUAAAACAGACCAGGGCCUGUGCUGCUGGCUGAGGCAAUCUACAACUAAACAUACCAGGGCCUGUGCUGUUGGCUGACGCCAUCCACAACACACCAGGGCCAAGGCCUGUGCUGCUGGUUGAAGCUAUCUACAACACACCAGGCCCUGUGCUGGUGGCUAAGGCGAUCUACAACACACCAGGGCCUGUGCUGCUGGCUGAGUGUAUCUACAACACACCAGGGCCUGUGCUGCUGGCUCAGGCCAUCUACAACAUACCAGGGCCUGUGCUGUUGGCUGACGCCAUCCACAACACACCAGGGCCAAGGCCUGUGCUGCUGGUUGAAGCGAUCUACAACACACCAGGGCCUGUGCUGCUGGCUGAGUGUAUCUACAACACACCAGGGCCUGUGCUGCUGGCUGAGGCAAUCUACAACUCCAGAGGGCCUGUGCUUCUGGGUGAGGCUAUCUACAACACACCAAGGCUUGUGCUGCUGGCUGAGGCCAUCUACAACUCACCAGGCCCUGUGCUUCUGGCUAAGGUUAUCUACAACACACCAGGGCUUGUGCUGGUGGCUGAGGCCAUCUACAACACACCAGGCCCUGUGCUGCUGGCUGAAGCUAUCUAGAACACACCAGGGUCUAUGCUGCUGGCUGAGGCAAUCUACAACUCCAGAGGGCCUGUGCUUCUGGGUGAGGCUAUCUACAACACACCAAGGCUUGUGCUGCUGGCUGAGGCCAUCUACAACUCACCAGGCCCUGUGCUUCUGGCUAAGGUUAUCUACAACACACCAGGGCUUGUGCUGGUGGCUGAGGCCAUCUACAACACACCAGGCCCUGUGCUGGUGGCUAAGGCUAUCUACAACUCCCCAGGGCCUGUACUGCUGGCUGAGACUGUCUACAACACACCAGGGCCUGUGCUGCUGGCUGAGACUGUCUACAACACACCAGGGCCGUUGCUGCUGGCUAAGGCUAUCUACAACAUACCAGGGCCUGUGCUGCUGGCUGACGCUAUCUACAACACACCAGGGCUUGUGCUGCGGGCUGAGGCAAUCUACAACUCACCAGGGCCUGUGCUGCUGGCUGAAGCCAUCUACAACAUACCAGGGCCUGUGCUGCUGGCUGACGCUAUCUACUACACACCAGGGCCUGUGCUGCUGGCUGACGCUAUCUACUACACACCAGGGCUUGUGCUGCGGGCUGAGGCAAUCUACAACUCACCAGGGCCUGUGCUGCUGGCUGAGGCCAUCUACAACACACGAGGGCCUUUGCUGCUGGCUGAGGCCAUCAACAAACACACCGGGGCCGUUACUGCUGGCUGAGGCUAUCUACAAUACACCAGGGCCUGUGCUGUUGGCUGAUGCCAUCCACAACACACAAGGGCCAGGGCGUGUACUGCUGGCUGAAGUUAUCUACAACACACCAGGGCUUGUGCUACUGGCUGAUGCAAUCUACAACUCAACAUACCAGGGCCUGUGCUGCUGGCUGAAGCUAUGUACAACACACCAGGGCCUUUGCUGCUGGCUGAGGCUAUAUAAGCACACCAGGGCCUGUGCUGCUGGCUGAUUCCUUCUACACGACAAGAGGGCAUGUGCCUCUGGGUGAGCCUAUCUACAACACACCAGGGCUUGUACUGCUGGCUGAGGCAAUCUACAACUCAACGGGCCUGUGCUGCUAAUAACACAUACUGAGUGAGAAAAGUGACUGGAAAGGAAAAACUCAAUGCAUCAUGGGAAUCCCCGGCAGCCUACGUCUAUUGCAGCAUAACUAAGGGAGGAUUCAGGGUCACCUGGUCCAGCCCUAACUCUAUGCUUUAGCAAAAAGGAAAGUUUGAAGCCUAAUCUUGAAAGUAGA